GCCGGCCUCCACACUUUCACUGCAGCGUGCGGUUUCCAUUAUUAAAAAUAAAAAUCAAAGAAUCAUAUACGAACUCCACCCUUUAUCAGCCCAGGCACUGUCCCUGGUGUAGUAUCUCUUAUCUGCUAACCACCCAAUUAUCUGAAGCAGUAAAGUGAGUUAAAUCCUGGUUUUUCCGGAAAACCCAGGAAGCGGAGUUGUUUUGCAUAAGACUUGUGGUUUUAAAUUUUGAAAAAAGGGCUGCAGUUAGUUAAGACUUGGGAUAAUGGGAUAAUGAAGUCUAGAGAUUAUCUGUUCGGGAUAAGAAGCUAAAGACCUAAAGACCGUGCUCCUGUGAAGAUACUUUCUUAGGUCAAAAUUUAGAAUUACCUGAAUCCCAAUGAAUCUGAGAUUUUCAUUGCCCUUUCAAACGAACCUGACAUUACAACGAAAUAAAGUGCGAAGCUUUUGGAAAAAAAAAAUUUUAGAGAGAGCAGGGGAAAACGUUGCUUUUAGAAGAAAAUGUAAAAUAGAUUUGCUUUAAAAGAGCCUAACAUCUUAUGUUUAAAACAAGUGGUUGAAAUGAAAACAUUCGCUUUCUCCUUACUUCAAAACUUUCUCUCGGGAAUAAUUCCUUUGCAGGAAGAGAGCAUGCGUGAACAUACUGCCUUCCUCUCUGGGUGAGUUGAAUACACAAACUUAUGAACAAGCAAUGCGAGAGAAUUGGAAUUGGAAGGGACUUGGUCAGAGUCUUGGAGUCUUUCUAAAGGACGCCUGUUGCCUGUUCCAUGGUCACUGCCACAGUGCAAGGGACAAAGAACUCACGGUCUGAAAGGUCCUGAGCUGCCCACAUGCUUGAGGCCCCCAGUGUCCUCCCUGAGCUACUGUGGCCCUGCUGGUGCAGAUGGAGCUUCUGGAGAGGAUCAGAGCACACUCACCUCCCUCUGCCAGCAAGCAGCCUCUCUCCCUGCUCUGCACAGGUGACUCGUGCCUCUCAGCAGAUCCUGCUGCAGCCGUACCAGUGAGAACCAUCAGAUGUCUGGAGGGACGAUGGCUAAGAAAUGUGACUGACAGCCAGAGAGCCUUAUCAUGGAUGUUUGAAGUGCAGAGGGCUGAGGUAAUUUGACCAAGAUCAUGCAGAGAGCCAUUGGGGGAAUUCAGACCUGAACCAAGGGGGCCUACUGUGCCAUCAGGAGCGGGUUUCCCCUCAGUCUUUUUGGAACCCUGACCUCUCCUUGUUACGGGUUAACAAAAGUAAGGAUUACGGUACAGAGGCGUUCCACCUUCCAAAGUCAACAAGUAGUCCAGAUUAUCUUGGCGAGAACCUACUGGGAUAGCACAGGAAAAUCUAGUCAAUAGUCUGUAAUAACCUAACGGGAAAAAAGAAUGGAUAUAUCUAUGGGUAUCGUUGAUUCACUUGCUGUACUCCUGAACUAAUACAACAUGGUGAGUCAACUAUACUCCAAUAAAAUUAAACAAAAAAUUCUCUUGAGAAGGUUCUCCAUGGCAGAGACUGAAAUACUGAGUCUCUUAAAAGCCCAGCAUAACCAGUUUCCCCUCCUGUAUUGAAAAAGAUGGUUGUCAAAAGUGCAUCUGGUGCCAUUCUACUGUCUGUACUUUCCUUUUCUUGAUCGAUUGGGCCAAGAGCUGGAAUCACAAACACUUCCCUGCAGCCCUGGCCUAGGCUUGUAGCUAGGCAGGACUGCCACUUUCCAAAGCACAAACAACACUCUCCUGUCUGUUUGCAGAGCAAAACCAUGGCGACAUGUCCUGACUUCCAUGGAUUUUUAUUUCCUAACUAGAUUCCUACCCAAGAGGAUAUUCCCACUCUUCAAAUUUGUACCUUGAUGCUCAUCUUUGAGGAGUGCUAGUUUGCUUGUUUGUUUCUUUCUGUCUGUCUGCCUUUCUAGGGCCGCACCCUCAGCAUAUGGAGGCUCCUAGGCUAG